AAGGCUUGAUCAAUUGUGUCACCGGGAAAGGUUCUGAAAUUGGUGAUUUUCUUACGAUGCAUCCUGGAGUCAACUGCAUAAGUUUUACGGGAGGUGAUACUGGUAUAGCCAUUUCAAAGAAGGCUGGAAUGGUCCCGCUUCAGAUGGAACUUGGAGGAAAAGAUGCUUGUGUUGUGUUAGAGGAUGCAGAUCUGGAUUUAGUGGCAGCAAAUAUAGUAAAAGG
rnacentral:misc_RNA from 1 species